CAGGCUCAAGGACUGUCCAACAUGUCUGAAGCUCUUAAAAAUAAAUCUGCAAAGAAGACUGGACCUUAAACCUCCAAUGUGACGUAACCUCUAUUUAUUUAUUUAUUCUUAACUCCCCAGUUAGGUGUUUCUUUGAGAGUUACUUUUUUUAUUUUUAUUUUGAUGUGCUUUAUUUGUGCACAAUGACAUUAAAAAGAAUUCUGAUUCGAAACAAUUCUUUGGUACAGGGGAAAAUGACGUUUUCCCAUAAGGCCAAGCUGCUGUAGGCACCGUAACGUCUGAAUAAUACGUUACGUGAUUUGUACUGACUCAGAUUAUCUUGGUUUAGUGAUCUUGAAACAAAAGUGUGG